GAGUGUCUCCAGGGAGUCGACACCAUCAGUCGGCUUUCUGUUGUUUCAUCAGACUGGAGUGCUCAGUUAGCUGCGGGACCAGUGGACCAUUAGCUGACUGGAGUCCGCCUGGACCAGGACUGUGGAUCAUGUGGGGGUUCAGCUUAUCUGGGCUCAGCUGCCUCUCGGUGAACAGUGAGACUCUAGACUGCACAGAAGAUAUUAGCCAAAAGAGGAUUUUGGUUUUAAAAUUGAAUAGUUUCAUAAACAGCUUGUAAAACCAGCGAGCUCCAGAUUGUCCACAAGGCCGACAGACUUGUUCUGUCCAAGAAGGGAUGAGGUCCGGGGUGGAAGAACGGAUCAACGCAGCAUUAUCGGACCAACGCCGGAGCAUGCUGUUUGUUUUCCGAACAGAUUAUUAAAUCGAUUUCCUUCCCGGCGACGUCUCUCAGCUGUGCAGAAUACCAGUCGAGGUCUGAAAGCCGACGCGUGCUCAUCACAGCGGCUGAGCAGUCAACAAAACCUGUGUCCCAUGAAAACAUUUUUAUGUGAGGUCUGAUUCAGUUGGUUGUAGGGAAAUCCUCCCCUUGUCUGCUGUAUCAGUGUGUAAACCAGAUUAGAGGGGUGUGUAAAGGCAUAAAGGGGACACAACACGCUCGCAAUGUAAUCCAAUCAGCAGUAAAACACUCCCAACCAUGAACA